rnacentral:rRNA from 1 species
CCUACGGGAGGCAGCAGUGAGGAAUAUUGGUCAAUGGACGCGAGCCUGAACCAGCCAAGCAGCGUGCAGGAUGACUGCCCUACGGGUUGUAAACUGCUUUUAUAAGGGAAUAAAGUGAGGCACGCGUGCCUUUUUGUAUGUAUUUUAUGAAUAAGGAUCGGCUAACUCCGUGCCAGCAGCCGCGGUAAUACGGAGGAUCCGAGCGUUAUCCGGAUUUAUUGGGUUUAAAGGGUGCGUAGGUGGUCUGUUAAGUCAGAUGUGAAAGUUUGCGGCUCAACUGUAAAAUUGCAAUUGAUACUGGCCGGCUAGAGAACAGUUGAGGUAGGCGGAAUGCGUGGUGUAGCGGUGAAAUGCUUAGAGAUCACGAAGAACACCGAUUGCGAAGGCAGCUUACCAAGCUGCCACUGACAUUGAUGCUCGAAAGCGUGGGUAUCAAACAGGAUUAGAUACCCUAGUAGUC